rnacentral:rRNA from 2 species
UACAGAGGGUGCGAGCGUUGUCCGGAAUUACUGGGCGUAAAGGGCGCGUAGGCGGCUUGGUAAGUCGGGGGUGAAAGUCAGCGGCUCAACCGCUGGACUGCCUUCGAGACUGCCUGGCUUGAGCAUGGUAGAGGCUGGCGGAAUUCCCGGUGUAGCGGUGGAAUGCGUAGAGAUCGGGAAGAACAUCGGUGGCGAAGGCGGCCAGCUGGGCCAUUGCUGACGCUGAUGCGCGACAGCGUGGGGAGCAAACAGG